AGAGAGCCUUCUACCAGAGAAAGCGGAGAAGGCCUCCUCUGUGCUCUGUCCUGAUACUUGGCGUGCCCCCACCGUCCCUCCUUGGAUGGGGACCCCACUCCCCUCUCCUGACUCUGGCUUCCCUCCACAGCAGGGAGAACAGCUGCUCCUAUCAGAGUCCCCAGUCCAUGCCAUGGAGACAGAUCCUUCCCCUGACCUCUGAGAUUCCCCAGUGCGCCGGUUGCAACCAGCACAUCCUGGAUAAGUUCAUCCUGAAGGUCCUGGACAGACACUGGCACAGCUCCUGCCUCAAGUGUGCAGACUGCCAGAUGCAGCUAGCUGACAGGUGCUUCUCCAGGGCCGGGAGUGUCUACUGCAAAGAAGAUUUUUUCAAACUGCUGGGCUGAGCUGCCUCCCGGUUGAUGUGGA
rnacentral:lncRNA from 1 species